rnacentral:rRNA from 1 species
UACGGACCGUCCAAACGUUAUUCGGAAUUACUGGGCUUAAAGGGUUUGUAGGCGGCGCUGUUAGUCGGGUGUGAAAUCCCACGGCUCAACCGUGGAACUGCGCCCGAUACUGCAGUGCUUGAGGGAGACAGAGGUAAGCGGAACUGAUGGUGGAGCGGUGAAAUGCGUUGAUAUCAUCAGGAACACCGGUGGCGAAAGCGGCUUACUGGGUCUCUUCUGACGCUGAGAAACGAAAGCUAGGGUAGCGAAGGGG